AAAAAAGCAGGGUACUGUUGUCUUCAUGAACAGUUCUCUCGUAAACUUUAGGGAAAUCAUGUACAUUGUUAUUGGGUGAACCUUUGUAAACUAUGUGACAAAAGGUUCAGUAAACAAUGGCACAUAU
rfam:Ananas comosus cultivar MD2 ACMD2_Scaffold_3010, whole genome shotgun sequence.